rnacentral:tRNA from 2 species
GAAAUAUUAAAUAAAAAGCUUCUAACUUUUUUUAAAAUGAUUAAAAUACAUUUAUAUUUCU